rnacentral:rRNA from 1 species
GUGCAGCCGCCGCGGUGAUACCGGCCGCCCGAGUGCUGGCCGAUCUUAUUGGGACUAAAGCGUCCGUAGCUGGCUGCGCCAGUCCGUCGGGAAAUCCACCUGCCCAACAGGUGGGCGUCCGGCGGAAACUGUGUGGCUUGGAACCGGAAGGCUCAGAGGGUACGUCCGGGGUAGGAGUGAAAUCCCGUAAUCCCGGACGGACCACCGAUGGCGAAAGCACUCUGAGAAGACGGCUUCGACAGUGAGGGACGAAAGCUAGGGUCUCAAACCGGAUUAGAUACCCGGGUAGUCC